rnacentral:lncRNA from 1 species
AUGUGCCAACAAAUUUGGAAAACUCAGCAGUGGCCACAGGACUGGAAAAGGUCAGUUUUCACCCUAAUCCCAAAGAAAGGCAAUGCCAAACAAUGCUCAAACUACCGCACAAUUGCACUCAUCUCACAUGCUAGUAAAGUAAUGCUCAAAAUUCUCCAAGCCAGGCUUCAGCAAUACGUGAACCAUGAACUCCCUGAUGUUCAAGCUAGUUUUAGAAAAGGCAGAGGAACCAGAGAUCAAAUUGCCAACAUCUGCUGGAUCAUAGAAAAAGCAAGAGAGUUUCAGAAAAACAUCUAUCUCUGCUUUGUUGACUAUGCCAAAGACUUUGACUGUGUGGAUCACAAUAAACUGUGGAAAAUUCUGAGAGAGAUGGGAAUACCAGAACACCUGACCUGCCUCUUGAGAAAUCUGUAUACAGGUCAGGAAGCAACAGUUAGAAGUGGACAUGGAACAACAGACUGGUUCCAAAUAGGAAAAGGAGUGCUUGAAGGCUGUAUAUUGUCACCCUGCUUAUUUAAGUUAUAUAUAGAGUACAUCAUGAGAAACGCUGGACUGGAAGAAACACAAGCUGGAAUCAAGAUUGCCAGGAGAAAUAUCAAUAACCUCAGAUAUGCAGAUGACAUCACCCUUAUGGCAGAAAGUGAAGAGGAACUCAAAAGCCUCUUGAUGAAAGUGAAAGAGGAGAAUGAAAAAGUUGGCUUAAAGCUCAACAUUCAGAAAACGAAGAUCAUGGCAUCUGGUCCCAUCACUUCAUGGGAAAUAGAUGGGGAAACAGUGGAAACAGUGUCAGACUUUAUUUUGGGGGGCUCCAAAAUCGCUGCAGAUGGUGGUUGCAGCCAUGAAAUUAAAAGAUGCUUACUCCUUGGAAGAAAAGUUAUAACCAACCUAGAUAGUAUAUUCAAAAGCAGAGACAUUACUUUGUCGACUAAGGUCCGUCUAGUCAAGGCUAUGGUUUUUCCUGUGGUCAUGUAUGGAUGUGAGAGUUGGACUGUGAAGAAGGCUGAGUGCCAAAGAAUUGAUGCUUUUGAACUGUGGUGUUGGAGAAGACUCUUGAGUCCCUUGGACUGCAAGGAGAUCCAAGCAGUCCAUUCUGAAGGAGAUCAGCCCUGGGAUUUCUUUGGAAGGAAUGAUGCUAAAGCUGAAACUCCAGUACUUUGGCCACCUCAUGUGAAGAGUUGA